AGUAAGGAAUAUUGGGCAAUGGACGCAAGUCUGACCCAGCCAUGCCGCGUGCAGGAUUGAAGGCCCUAUGGGUUGUAAACUGCUUUUAUAUGCCAAGAAACCCCCGAACGUGUUCGGGGCUGACGGUAGCAUACGAAUAAGCACCGGCUAACUCCGUGCCAGCAGCCGCGGUAAUACGGAGGGUGCAAGCGUUAUCCGGAUUUAUUGGGUUUAAAGGGUGCGCAGGCGGAAUGAUAAGUCAGUGGUGAAAUCCUACAGCUCAACUGUAGAACUGCCAUUGAUACUGUCGUUCUUGAGUACAUUUGAGGUAGGCGGAAUGUAUCAUGUAGCGGUGAAAUGCAUAGAUAUGAUACAGAACACCGAUAGCGAAGGCAGCUUACCAAACUGUAACUGACGCUCAGGCACGAAAGCGUGGGGAGCAAACAGGAUUAGAUACCCUGGUAGUCCACGCCGUAAACGAUGAUCACUCGCUGUUGGCGAUAAACAGUCAGCGGCUAAGCGAAAGUGUUAAGUGAUCCACCUGGGGAGUACGAUCGCAAGGUUGAAACUCAAAGGAAUUGACGGGGGCCCGCACAAGCGGAGGAGCAUGUGGUUUAAUUCGAUGAUACGCGAGGAACCUUACCUGGGCUUAAAUGUAGGACGACCGUCCGGGAAACCGGAUUUCUCUUCGGAGCGACUUACAAGGUGCUGCAUGGUUGUCGUCAGCUCGUGCCGUGAGGUGUCGGGUUAAGUCCCAUAACGAGCGCAACCCCUAUUCUUAGUUACCAUCAGAUAAUGCUGGGGACUCUAAGAAAACUGCCAGCGCAAGCUGUGAGGAAGGUGGGGAUGACGUCAAAUCAGCACGGCCCUUAUGUCCAGGGCUACACACGUGCUACAAUGGCCGGCACAGAGGGUCGCUACCUGGUGACAGGAUGCUAAUCUCGAAAACCGGUCUCAGUCCGGAUCGAAGUCUGCAACUCGACUUCGUGAAGUUGGAUUCGCUAGUAAUCGCAUAUCAGCAAUGGUGCGGUGAAUACGU
rnacentral:rRNA from 1 species